rnacentral:misc_RNA from 1 species
GAUGAAGAACGCAGCGAAAUGCGAUACUUGGUGUGAAUUGCAGAAUCCCGUGAACCAUCGAGUCUUUGAACGCAAGUUGCGCCUCAAGCCAUUAGGUUGAGGGCACGUCUGCCUGGGCGUCACAUAUCGUUGCCUGAUGCCAGUUUCCUCGUGAUGGGUGACUGUGCAGGGCGAAUGAUGGCUUCCCGUGAGCAUUGUUGCCUCAUGGUUGGUUGAAAAUUGAGUCCUUGGUAGGGAGCGCCGUGAUAGAUGGUGGUUGAGUGACGAACGAGACCCAAUCAUGUGAGACCCCUACCGAAUUUGGCCUUCAUGACCCACAUGCGUCUUUGGAACGCUCAUGACGAGACCUCAGGUCAGGCGGGGCUACCCGCUGAGUUUAAGCAUAUCAAUAAGCGGAGGG